GAUGAACGCUGGCGGCGUGCCUAAAACAUGCAAGUCGAGCGGUAAGGCCUCUUCGGAGGUACACGAGCGGCGGACGGGUGAGUAACACGUGGGAAUCUACCCCAAACUGAGGGAUAAGCACCGGAAACGGUGUCUAAUACCGCAUAUGGUCUUCGGAUUAAAGCUUCGGCGGUUUGGGAAGAGCCCGCGUAAGAUUAGCUAGUUGGUGAGGUAAAGGCUUAUCAAGGCGACGAUCUUUAGCUGGUUUGAGAGGAUGAUCAGCCACACUGGAACUGAGACACGGUCCAGACUCCUACGGGAGGCAGCAGUUAGGAAUUUUCCACAAUGGGCGAAAGCCUGAUGGAGCAACGCCGCGUGCAGGAUGAAGGUUUUCGGAUUGUAAACUGCUUUUAUGUGCGAAGAAUAUGACGGUAACACAUGAAUAAGGAUCGGCUAACUCCGUGCCAGCCGCCGCCGUAA
rnacentral:rRNA from 1 species